UGACCCAGAGAGAGAGAGAGAGAGAUGGAGAUGAGGGGGUGGGGUGGUUAAGCUCACCAACAAGCGGCCGAGGCAGCACAAGGGAAAGGGUGGUGCUAGGGCAGAACAGGGGAUGGGAUGUGGUGGUUUUGACCUUUGGUGAUGUGGCAACCGGAUGCAGGCUUCAAUUGUGACAGAGGAAUGACGACAAGCGGAAGGUGGUGAUGGGAGGCGAGGGUCAUGACAAUGAGAUGGACA
rnacentral:lncRNA from 1 species